UACAGAGGGUGCGAGCGUUGUCCGGAAUCACUGGGCGUAAAGGGCGCGUAGGCGGCUUGAUAAGGUUGCGGUGAAAGUCCGGGGCUCAACUCCGGAUCUGCGGUGGGUACGGGCAGACUAGAGUGAUGUAGGGGAGACUGGAAUUCCUGGUGUAGCGGUGAAAUGCGCAGAUAUCAGGAGGAACACCGGUGGCGAAGGCGGGUCUCUGGGCAUUAACUGACGCUGAGGAGCGAAAGCAUGGGGAGCGAACAGG
rnacentral:rRNA from 1 species